rnacentral:rRNA from 1 species
GAUGAACGCUGGCGGCGUGCCUAAUACAUGCAAGUCGAGCGAACAGACGAGGAGCUUGCUCCUCUGACGUUAGCGGCGGACGGGUGAGUCACACGUGGAUAACCUACCUAUAAGACUGGGAUAACUUCGGGAAACCGGAGCUAAUAACGGAUAAUAUAUUGAACCGCAUGGUUCAAUAGUGAAAGACGGUUUUGCUGUCACUUAUAGAUGGAUCCGCGCCGCAUUAGCUAGUUGGUAAGGUAACGGCUUACCAAGGCAACGAUGCGUAGCCGACCUGAGAGGGUGGUCGGCCACACUGGAACUGAGAAACGCUCCAGACUCCUACGGGAGGCAGCAGUAGGGAAUCUGCCGCAAUGGGCGAAAGCCUUACGGAACAACACCACGUGAGUGAUGAAGGUCUUCGGAUCGUAAAACUCUGUUAUUAGGGAAGAACAAAGGUGUAAGUAACUAUGCACGUCUUGACGGUACCUAAUCAGAAAGCCACGGCUAACUACGUG